UAGAUUGAAGCCAGCAUAUUAGGGUAUUUAGCUGUUAACUAAAUUGUCGUAGGUUGAAUCCUAUCAAUCUAG
rnacentral:tRNA from 1 species